UCCGGCGUGGUCUAGUGGCUAGGAUAUUUGGCUUUCACCCAGAAGGCCCGGGUUCGAUUCCCUGUGUCGGAA
rnacentral:tRNA from 1 species